rnacentral:rRNA from 1 species
GGACUACUGGGGUAUCUAAUCCUGUUUGCUCCCCACGCUUUCGCGCCUCAGCGUCAGUCCUCUGAUAGAAGCUCGCCUUCGCCACCGGUGUUCUUCCAGAUAUCUACAGAUUUCACCCCUACACCUGGAAUUCCAGCUUCCCCUCAAGAACUCAAGCCCACCAGUUUCCAGCGCCUACGCAAGGUUAAGCCUUGCGUUUUCACACCAGACUUGAUGAGCCGCCUACACGCCCUUUACGCCCAAUAAAUCCGAACAACGCUCGCCCCAUACGUAUUACCGCGGCGGCUGGCAC